rfam:Colletotrichum sublineola strain TX430BB Scaffolds1235.1, whole genome shotgun sequence.
GGUCUGGUGGUGUAGUUGGUUAUCACGUCAGUCUAACAGUUCGAGGUCCAACUCCCCUCGGCUGAGCACACUGAAGGUCUCCGGUUCAAGUCCGGGCUAGAUCA